rnacentral:rRNA from 1 species
GAUGAACGCUGGCGGCGUGCCUAAUACAUGCAAGUCGAGCGAACGGACGAGAAGCUUGCUUUUCUGAUGUUAGCGGCGGACGGGUGAGUAACACGUGGAUAACCUACCUAUAAGACUGGGAUAACUUCGGGAAACCGGAGCUAAUACCGGAUAAUAUUUUGAACCGCAUGGUUCAAAAGUGAAAGACGGUCUUGCUGUCACUUAUAGAUGGAUCCGCGCUGCAUUAGCUAGUUGGUAAGGUAACGGCUUACCAAGGCAACGAUGCAUAGCCGACCUGAGAGGGUGAUCGGCCAGACUGGAACUGAGACACGGUCCAGACUCCUACGGGAGGCAGCAGUAGGGAAUCUUCCGCAAUGGGCGAAAGCCUGACGGAGCAACGCCGCGUGAGUGAUGAAGGUCUUCGGAUCGUAAAACUCUGUUAUUAGGGAAGAACAUAUGUGUAAGUAACUGUGCACAUCUUGACGGUACCUAAUCAGAAAGCCACGGCUAACUACGUG